UACUGGAAUGUUCUUUUCCUGAAAAGCAAUGUCUAAGGAUGAGUCGGCGGCUGAUUAGAUUGUUGGUGAGGUAAAGUAACCUUUUCUUAAAAGAAAAGUUUAACCAAAAGAAUUGGUUUUUACAAGCUCACCAAGUCUAUGAUCAGUAGGGGGGAUGAGAGUCCUAGCCCCGAGAAGGGCACUGAGAAACUGGCCCUAGUCCUAAGGGAUGCAGCAGGCGCGGAACCUUUACAAUGCACGAAAGUGUGAUAAGGGGAUCCGAAGUGCUUUACUUUAAGUAAGGCUUUUGUUAAGUGUAAAAAGCUUAACGAAUAAGGAGUGGGUAAGACCGGUGCCAGCAGCCGCGGUAACACCGGCGCUCCAAGUGGCAACCACAUUUAUUGGGUCUAAGGCGUUCGUAGCUGGUUUGGUAAAUCUUUUGUGAAAUUGUUGGGCUUAACCUAACAACGUGCAGAAGACACUGCCAAACUUGGGACCGGGANNGGAUAGAAGUAU
rnacentral:rRNA from 1 species